rnacentral:rRNA from 1 species
GAUGAACGCUGGCGGCGUGCUUAACGCAUGCAAGUCGAGCGAGUGAGUUCUUCGGAACGACCUAGCGGCGGACGGGUGAGUAACACGUGGGCAACCUGCCUCAUAGAGGGGAAUAGCCUCCCGAAAGGGAGAUUAAUACCGCAUAAAAUUAUCGAGUGGCAUCACACGAUAAUCAAAGGAGUAAUCCGCUAUGAGAUGGGCCCGCGGCGCAUUAGCUAGUUAGUGAGGUAACGGCUCACCAAGGCGACGAUGCGUAGCCGACCUGAGAGGGUGAUCGGCCACAUUGGGACUGAGACACGGCCCAGACGCCUACGGGAGGAAGCAGUGGGGAAUAUUGCACAAUGGGGGGAAACCCUGAUGCAGCAACGCCGCGUGAGUGAUGAAGGUCUUCGGAUUGUAAAGCUCUGUCUUUGGGGACGAUAAUGACGGUACCCAAGGAGGAAGCCACGGCUAACUACGUGCCAGCCGCCGCCGUAA